AAACUAAUUUACAACUAUACAAUUUCCAGGCAGUUUGGCGUUCCUCUGUCAGCCAAUCGGCAGCAUCUUCUCUGGGCCGCUGCUCGACUAUUUUGGAAGGAAGAAAGCCUUGUUCAUCGUCAACAUUCCACAUUUGAUAGCAUGGCUGUUGAUGUACUACGCUUGGGAUGUACCCUCGUUGUUCAUCGGGAAUGCCUUAUUGGGCAUAGGCACGGGGAUUAUGGAAGCGCCGUCAGUCACUUACGUGGGAGAAGUCAGCGACCCGUCCAUCCGCGGUAUCUUGACGACCCUCACGAACG